rnacentral:rRNA from 1 species
UGGGGAAUUUUGGACAAUGGGCGAAAGCCUGAUCCAGCAAUGCCGCGUGUGUGAAGAAGGCCUUCGGGUUGUAAAGCACUUUUGUCCGGAAAGAAAUCCUUGGCUCUAAUACAGUCGGGGGAUGACGGUACCGGAAGAAUAAGCACCGGCUAACUACGUGCCAGCAGCCGCGGUAAUACGUAGGGUGCAAGCGUUAAUCGGAAUUACUGGGCGUAAAGCGUGCGCAGGCGGUUUGCUAAGACCGAUGUGAAAUCCCCGGGCUCAACCUGGGAACUGCAUUGGUGACUGGCAGGCUAGAGUAUGGCAGAGGGGGGUAGAAUUCCACGUGUAGCAGUGAAAUGCGUAGAGAUGUGGAGGAAUACCGAUGGCGAAGGCAGCCCCCUGGGCCAAUACUGACGCUCAUGCACGAAAGCGUGGGGAGCAAACAGGAUUAGAUACCCUGGUAGUCCACGCCCUAAACGAUGUCAACUAGUUGUGGGGAUUCAUUUCCUAGUAACGUAGCUAACGCGUGAAGUUGACCGCCUGGGGAGUACGGUCGCAAGAUUAAAACUCAAAUGAAUUGACGGGGU